UACGGAGGGUGCAAACGUUGCUCGGAAUCAUUGGGCGUAAAGCGCACGUAGGCGGUCCAGCAAGUCGGGUGUGAAAGCCCUCGGCUUAACCGAGGAAGUGCAUUCGAAACUACUGGACUUGAAUACUGAAGAGGAUCGCGGAAUUCCCGGUGUAGAGGUGAAAUUCGUAGAUAUCGGGAGGAACACCAGUGGCGAAGGCGGCGAUCUGGGCAGAUAUUGACGCUGAGACGCGAAAGCGUGGGGAGCGAACAGG
rnacentral:rRNA from 1 species